UACGUAGGGAGCAAGCGUUGUCCGGAUUUAUUGGGCGUAAAGAGCUCGUAGGCGGCUUAGCAAGUCGGGUGUGAAAACUCCAGGCUCAACCUGGAGACGCCACUCGAUACUGCUAUGGCUUGAGUUCGGUAGGGGACCAUGGAAUUCCUGGUGUAGCGGUGAAAUGCGCAGAUAUCAGGAGGAACACCGAUGGCGAAGGCAGUGGUCUGGGCCGAUACUGACGCUGAGGAGCGAAAGCGUGGGGAGCGAACAGG
rnacentral:rRNA from 2 species